AAAAGGACAUACCCAAAAAGCUC
rnacentral:snRNA from 1 species